GACGAACGCUGGCGGCGUGCUUAACACAUGCAAGUCGAACGGAAAGGCCCUGCUUUUGUGGGGUGCUCGAGUGGCGAACGGGUGAGUAACACGUGAGUAACCUGCCCUUGACUUUGGGAUAACUUCAGGAAACUGGGGCUAAUACCGGAUAGGAGCUCCUGCUGCAUGGUGGGGGUUGGAAAGUUUCGGCGGUUGGGGAUGGACUCGCGGCUUAUCAGCUUGUUGGUGGGGUAGUGGCUUACCAAGGCUUUGACGGGUAGCCGGCCUGAGAGGGUGACCGGCCACAUGGGGACUGAGGGACGGCGCAGACUCCUACGGGAGGCAGCAGUGGGGAAUAUGACACAAUGGGCGGAAGCCUGAUGCAGCAACGCCGCGUGCGGGAUGACGGCCUUCGGGGUGUAAACCGCUUUCGCCUGUGACGAAGCGUGAGUGACGGUAAUGGGUAAAGAAGCACCGGCUAACUACGUG
rnacentral:rRNA from 1 species